rnacentral:lncRNA from 1 species
GCCAGCCUCAUACUACGGCUCCUACCCUGAAGGAGUUCACCGUCCAGUGAGAGAACGGAUAGUGAUCAGUCUCCUCUGUUAGGGUACUGGUUCCCAGCGCAGAGCUUCUGUGAUUACCAGAAGAACACUGAAGGAGUCUUCUUGUCUGUCUGGAGCCAGCUGAGAUGGCCCUGAGAUCCACAGAGCCUCCUCCACGCCCCUGGAUGGAGGCGCUCCUGCUCUUCCACCCUUUGUAUCUCUCACUUGGCACCCAUUCCCGUAAUUAAUCACAAACUCCGUCUGAGCUAUUCCUUUCUAAGCCAUGCCCUCUGUACUCUGACUUGCCCCAAAUAGACAGAUGCUCAAUAAAUAUUUGCUGAUUGGCUGGAAA